rnacentral:snoRNA from 1 species
GUGCAAACUCAAAAGAAGAGACUCAGAAGGGAGGCAGACCAGUUCUGCUAAAGUAAUUACAGUGACAGAAAUGUAAGGACUUUAGAUGCCGUGAGGUUGUCCAUUCUAUCCUAGUACAGGG